UACAGAGGUCUCAAGCGUUGUUCGGAUUCAUUGGGCGUAAAGGGUGCGUAGGCGGCGCGGUAAGUCGGGUGUGAAAUCUCGGAGCUUAACUCCGAAACUGCAUUCGAUACUGCCGUGCUUGAGGACUGGAGAGGAGACUGGAAUUUACGGUGUAGCAGUGAAAUGCGUAGAGAUCGUAAGGAAGACCAGUGGCGAAGGCGGGUCUCUGGACAGUUCCUGACGCUGAGGCACGAAGGCCCAGGGGGAGCAAACGGG
rnacentral:rRNA from 1 species